rnacentral:lncRNA from 1 species
CCAACUGCUACAUACCAUCUUCGACCAUCCCAACACACCAUGUAAAGCCCAAAAUCUGCACAGGCCCAACAGUCCAAUUACAAAAAAUAAUAAACCCAAUUUAAACCCAAACAAAUCAAAACCCUAAGGCCCAAUUAGCCCAAAAUCUAAAACAUUUUUUAGCAAAAUUUCAACAGCAAAUCCUAGAGCGCCGCAUACUGCUACCCCACUGUCGUUUCGCCUCCUCACGCCUGCUUCCACCACCG